rnacentral:rRNA from 1 species
GACGAACGCUGGCGGCGUGCUUAACACAUGCAAGUCGAACGAUGAACCCGGAGCUUGCUCCGGUGGAUUAGUGGCGAACGGGUGAGUAACACGUGAGUAACCUGCCCUCGACUCCGGGAUAACUGCGGGAAACUGUAGCUAAUACCGGAUACGACCCUCGGCGGCAUCGCCAGGGGGUGGAAAGAAUUUCGGUCAAGGAUGGACUCGCGGCCUAUCAGCUAGUUGGUGAGGUAACGGCUCACCAAGGCGACGACGGGUAGCCGGCCGGGGAGGGUGACCGGCCACGGUGGGGAUGAGAAACGGCCCAGGAUCCUAAGGGAGGCAGCAGUGGGGAAUAUUGCACAAUGGGCGCAAGCCUGAUGCAGCAACGCCGCGUGAGGGAUGACGGCCUUCGGGUUGUAAACCUCUUUUAGUAGGGAAGAAGCAAAAGUGACGGUACCUGCAGAAAAAGCACCGGCUAACUACGUGCCAGCCGCCGCCGUAA